UUUGCUGGGGGUGCCGGAUACAAGCGGCUGAGAAAUACCCUUUUUCACCUGAUCUGGAUCAUACCAGCGUAGGGAAGCAUGA
rnacentral:ncRNA from 1 species